UACGUAGGGUGCAAGCGUUGUCCGGAAUUAUUGGGCGUAAAGAGUUCGUAGGCGAUUCGUCGCGUCGGCUGUGAAAUCCCGAGGCUCAACCUCGGGCCUGCAGUCGAUACGGGCGGACUGGAGUACUGCAGGGGAGACUGGAAUUCCUGGUGUAGCGGUGAAAUGCGCAGAUAUCAGGGAGGAACACUGGUGGCGAAGGCGGGUCUCUGGGCAGUUACUGACGGCUGGAGGAAGCGAAAGCGUGGGAGCGAACAGG
rnacentral:rRNA from 1 species